rnacentral:rRNA from 1 species
CCCCUAGACGUUCUGGGCCGCACGCGCGCUACACUGACCAGUGCAACAAGCAUCCGUCCUUGGCCGACAGGCCCGGGCAAUCUUUGAACGCUGGUCGUGAUGGGGAUAGACUUUUGCAAUUUUUGGUCUUCAACGAGGAAUUCCUAGUAAACGCAAGUCAUCAACUUGCAUUGAUUACGUCCCUGCCCUUUGUACACACCGCCCGUCGCACCUACCGAUUGAAUGGUCCGGUGAAGCCUCCGGAUUGGCGCGCACCUCGGUGCCGCCGAGAAGUUGGCUAAACCUUACCAUUUAGAGGAAGGUGAANUCGUANCA